UACAGAGGGUGCGAGCGUUAAUCGGAAUUACUGGGCGUAAAGCGUGCGUAGACGGUUUUGUAAGUCGGAUGUGAAAUCCCCGGGCUCAACCUGGGAAUUGCAUUCGAGACUGCAAGGCUUGGGUGCGGAAGAGGGAAGCGGAAUUUCCGGUGUAGCGGUGAAAUGCGUAGAUAUCGGAAGGAACAUCAGUGGCGAAGGCGGCUUCCUGGUCUGCGACUGACGCUGUGGCGCGAAAGCUAGGGGAGCAAACGGG
rnacentral:rRNA from 1 species